UACGUAGGGUGCGAGCGUUGUCCGGAAUUAUUGGGCGUAAAGAGCUCGUAGGCGGUCUGUCGCGUCGAUCGUGAAAACUUGGGGGCUUAACCCUGAGCUUGCGGUCGAUACGGGCAUGACUGGAGUUCGGCAGGGGAGACUGGAAUUCCUGGUGUAGCGGUGAAAUGCGCAGAUAUCAGGAAGAACACCAAUGGCGAAGGCAGCUCUCUGGGACGGUACUGACGCUGAGACGCGAAAGCGUGGGGAGCGAACAGG
rnacentral:rRNA from 1 species